rnacentral:rRNA from 1 species
GAUGAACGCUGGCGGCGUGCCUAACACAUGCAAGUCGAGCGAAGCACUUACUUUAGAUUUCUUCGGAAUGACGAAGUUUGUGACUGAGCGGCGGACGGGUGAGUAACGCGUGGGCAACCUGCCCUGUACAGGGGGAUAACAGUUAGAAAUGACUGCUAAUACCGCAUAAGCCCACAGCUUCGCAUGAAGCAGUGGGAAAAACUCCGGCGGUACAGGAUGGGCCCGCGUCUGAUUAGCUAGUUGGUAAGGUAACGGCUUACCAAGGCGACGAUCAGUAGCCGACCUGAGAGGGUGACCGGCCACAUUGGGACUGAGACACGGCCCAAACUCCUACGGGAGGCAGCAGUGGGGAAUAUUGCACAAUGGGGGAAACCCUGAUGCAGCGACGCCGCGUGAGCGAUGAAGUAUUUCGGUAUGUAAAGCUCUAUCAGCAGGGAAGAAAGUGACGGUACCUGACUAAGAAGCCCCGGCUAACUACGUG